rnacentral:rRNA from 1 species
CCUACGGGUGGCAGCAGUGAGGAAUAUUGGUCAAUGUGCGAGAGCCUGAACCAGCCAAGUCGCGUGAAGGAUGGAAGAUCUAUGGUUUGUAAACUUCUUUUAUAUGGGAAUAAAGUGAGGAACGUGUUCCUUUUUGUAUGUACCAUAUGAAUAAGGAUCGGCUAACUCCGUGCCAGCAGCGGCGGUAAUACGGAGGAUGCGAGCGUUAUCCGGAUUUAUUGGGUUUAAAGGGUGCGUAGGUGGUUUAUUAAGUCAGUGGUGAAAGUUUGUGGCUCAACCAUAAAAUUGCAGUUGAUACUGGUUGACUUGAGUAUAGUUGAGGUAGGCGGAAUGCGUGGUGUAGCGGUGAAAUGCAUAGAUAUCACGAAGAACUCCGAUUGCGAAGGCAGCUUACUAAACUAUAACUGACACUGAGGCACGAAAGCGUGGGGAUCAAACAGGAUUAGAUACCCGGGUAGUC